GACAGAGGAGCCAAGCGUUGUCCGGAUUGACUGGGCGUAAAGCGCACGCAGGCGGUCACGCGCGUGGGGUGUGAAAACUGGCGGCUUAACUGCCAGAGGCCAUCCCAUACGGCGCGACUCGAGCCAUGCAGAGGUCCACGGAAUUGCCGGUGUAGUGGUGAAAUGCGUAGAUAUCUGGAGGAAUACCGGUGGCGAAGGCAGGUCUCUGGGCUGACACUGACGCUCAUGCACGAAAGCGUGGGGAGCAAACAGG
rnacentral:rRNA from 1 species